rnacentral:misc_RNA from 1 species
AACGAGGCCGACCUGCGGCUGAGUUACCUGCGGAGGGAUCAUUACAGAGUUCAUGCCCUCACGGGUAGAUCUCCCACCCUUGAAUACUAUACCUUUGUUGCUUUGGCGGGCCGCUUUGGCUACUGGCUCUGGCUAGUAAGUGCCCGCCAAAGAACCCCAAAACUCUGAAUAUUAGUGUCGUCUGAGUACUAUAUAAUAGUUAAAACUUUCAGCAAUGGAUCUCAGAUCGGAAGAGCACAC